UACGUAGGGUGCGAGCGUUGUCCGGAAUUAUUGGGCGUAAAGAGCUCGUAGGCGGUGUGUCACGUCGGCCGUGAAAACCUGCAGCUUAACUGUGGGCGUGCGGUCGAUACGGGCAUCACUGGAGUUCGGCAGGGGAGACUGGAAUUCCUGGUGUAGCGGUGAAAUGCGCAGAUAUCAGGAGGAACACCGGUGGCGAAGGCGGCAUCCUGGACCGACAUUGACGCUGAUGAGCGAAAGCUAGGGGAGCAAACGGG
rnacentral:rRNA from 1 species